UACGUAGGGUGCGAGCGUUGUCCGGAAUUACUGGGCGUAAAGAGCUUGUAGGUGGUUUGUCGCGUUGUUCGUGAAAUCUCACGGCUCAACUGUGAGCGUGCGGGCGAUACGGGCAGACUAGAGUACUGCAGGGGAGACUGGAAUUCCUGGUGUAGCGGUGGAAUGCGCAGAUAUCAGGAGGAACACCGGUGGCGAAGGCGGGUCUCUGGGCAGUAACUGACGCUGAGGAGCGAAAGCGUGGGGAGCAAACAGG
rnacentral:rRNA from 1 species